rnacentral:misc_RNA from 1 species
UUUUUAUCUAAAUCUGGUUUUUAUUUCCACAAUGUAACAGAAGUUACAUAUAGCUACAAAAUGUACUCAAUGUCAUCUUGGAAGCUAAGGAUCCAAAUGGAUUAACAGAAUGGGGAACAAAAGAAAAAAGGAAAACACCCUACACCAGCUCUCUCUCUCUCUAUAUAUAUAAUUUUAAUUUGUGUAUAUCCUAUCCUCCCGAAAUACCAUUUGUGAGAUUACAUUGGAUAUGUUGUAUGUCGAGAUGUACUAGUGAUUACAUCUUUUCUUUUGCGAUUGUGCUGUCAGGUUGUAUAGUACAAGUCAAAAUGGCGUGAGGCUAUGCUGUUUUUGAUGUACUUUUUUUGGAAAAUGAUAAAAACAAAGCUAAAGUAUUGGUGUUCUGUAUUCAUUAGGCGGAGAGCAAGUUUUCACGGGAUUCAGUCAAUUGUCUUGUGAUGAAUGUUGAGAUGUACUAGUAGUCAAAAUGUUGCAAGGUUCAUUUCCUGCUCCAGCACCUUGGAUAACCAAAGGUUGUUUCUCUAACAACGGCUGUAUAUUUCCACCACAUUAUCACUUCCUCUUAAUCUUCCCAAAGCAGAAUCUUUUGGAACUUCU